GACGAACGCUGGCGGCGUGCUUAACACAUGCAAGUCGAGCGGUAAGGCCCUUGCGGGGGUACACGAGCGGCGAACGGGUGAGUAACACGUGGGUGACCUGCCUUUAGCUCUGGGAUAAGCCUGGGAAACUGGGUCUAAUACCGGAUAUGACUCCGCGGUGCAUGCUGUGGGGUGGAAAGCCUUGUGCGGCUGGAGAUGGGCCCGCGGCCUAUCAGCUUGUUGGUGGGGUGAUGGCCUACCAAGGCGA
rnacentral:rRNA from 1 species